UGGGGAAUUUUGGACAAUGGGCGAAAGCCUGAUCCAGCAAUGCCGCGUGUGUGAAGAAGGCCUUCGGGUUGUAAAGCACUUUUGUCCGGAAAGAAAUCCUUGGCUCUAAUACAGUCGGGGGAUGACGGUACCGGAAGAAUAAGCACCGGCUAACUACGUGCCAGCAGCCGCGGCAAUACGUAGGGUGCAAGCGUUAAUCGGAAUUACUGGGCGUAAAGCGUGCGCAGGCGGUUUGCUAAGACCGAUGUGAAAUCCCCGGGCUCAACCUGGGAACUGCAUUGGUGACUGGCAGGCUAGAGUAUGGCAGAGGGGGGUAGAAUUCCACGUGUAGCAGUGAAAUGCGUAGAGAUGUGGAGGAAUACCGAUGGCGAAGGCAGCCCCCUGGGCCAAAUACUGACGCUCAUGCACGAAAGCGUGGGGAGCAAACAGGAUUAGAUACCCUGGUAGUCCACGCCCUAAAACGAUGUCAACUAGUUGUUGGGGAUUCAUUUCCUUAGUAACGUAGCUAACGCGUGAAGUUGACCGCCUGGGGAGUACGGUCGCAAGAUUAAAACUCAAAUGAAUUGACGGGGUCAUAGCUGUUUCCU
rnacentral:rRNA from 1 species